rnacentral:lncRNA from 1 species
AAGAUUAGUUUAUUUGUGCAUUUAACAAACAAUUAUUGAGUGCCUGCUGUGUAAGGCACUUUGAUAGGGUCUGAAAAUGAUGCAGAGAACAAACCAAAUAAAGCUUUCAUGCAGUUUAUAUUCUAGACAAAAGAGGCAGUUAGUAAACAAAGAAACAACAAUAAUAUCAAAUACCCAUUAUUGCUUUGAAAAUAAAUAAAGCAGGGUUAGGGGAUAGAGUGUGCUGGAGAAUAGGCUCUCAUAUGUUAGGUAAGAUAAUCAGGAAAGAUUUCUUUAAUAAAUUGACAUGGAGCAGAGAAAGGAAUCAAAUGAAGAAGCAAGCCAUGUUGAUGACUGAGGAAGAACAUUCCAGGCAGAGAGAACAAGCAUAACCGGAUUUUGAAAUCUAGAAGUCUGGAGAGAAAGUAGGGCUAGAAGUCCCAGGCUCCCACAGAGAGCAAGAAUAGAUGAAGAAGACAAAAAAAGAAAAAAAAAAACCUGAAGAAUAGGUCCUGGGAGUUCCAGUAUUUAGAGGUUGAGAAAAGUAAUUAAGUUCCUCAAAGAGAUGAAAAAGAAAUGGCCAAUGAGCUGGUUAAAGUUAAAAAAAAAAAAAAAAAAAAAAAGCUUCUAGGAAACAAAAUGAAGAAAGUGUUUCAAACGUAAAAUGAUCAUUACAAAGUGUGCUUAAGAAAGCAAGUCAGCUACCAUGCAGACUGGAUUUUGCAACAUGGAAUUAAUUUUUGAGUUGACAAGAAAAGUUUGAGUAAAUGAUAAGAAUGAAAGCUUAAUUGGGGGAUUUUAAAAGAAAAAGAGAAGAGAGAAAUCAGGCUUUUGCUCUAAGAGUGUAAAGAUAUAAAAAUAGUCUGGGUGGAGUAAGUCAAGGGAAUUUUUACCAGGAUCAAAAUAUUUUAACAUUCUACAGAGGGAAGAAUAAUUGAGUAGAGAAGGAAAAAUGGAUGUUUCAAAAGACAAGAAACAGCUCAACGUGACCAACAUCCUAG